UACGGAGAGUGCAAGCGUUGUUCGGAAUCAUUGGGCGUAAAGCGCGUGUAGGCGGCGAGAAAAGUUGGGUGUGAAAUCCCUCGGCUUAACCGGGGAAUUGCGCUCAAAACUGUCUUGCUUGAGUACAGGAGGGGAAGGCGGAAUUCCCAGUGUAGAGGUGAAAUUCGUAGAUAUUGGGAGGAACACCGGUGGCGAAGGCGGCCUUCUGGACUGAUACUGACGCUGAGACGCGAAAGCGUGGGGAG
rnacentral:rRNA from 1 species